rnacentral:lncRNA from 1 species
UUUGGUUUUAGUAUUUGUUUUCAACACUACUUUUCACUCAGUAUAUCUGAUUAACUCAAGUUUUCCAGCAAUUUUUCUCUGUUUCCAAACUAGGGUUUUUUACCCCUUUGGCAAAAUCGCUAUACUUUCUGAUUUUUCUUGAGUAUUAUGUGGUUAUGUUUGUGUUUUGUGUUUGUUUGUGUUAUCUUGUGGUUACUCCGAGUUCCAUGCUUUAAGUUUUCUACUAGAGUUCUGUCUUCUGUUGAAUCUACAACUUUUUUGCUUAGGGUUCUCUGAUUUUUAUGCCUAUUAUGCUUUAUAGGUUUUAUUGUUCAUUUUUUACCUAAUAUUCUGUUAAUUAUGUGCAUCUGCGAAUCCUUAAUUUGUAUGUGAUUUUUCUUAGAAGUUUCACACUGAUUUUUUUUUGAAUUACUUCCUUAUUUGUGAUAGGCUUUCCUUACUUAGAGCUAAUUCCCUAUGAUUUUAGUCUCAUCCGUGAUUCUUUGACUGAUUUUCAGAAUUAAUUUACAUUUUUUUCCAUACUUACGCGCACAUGCUAUCAAAUAUUUAGUAUAUAUUUUCCUACUUGAAUUAUUGUGUAUUUAGUCCUUAUUACAUAUUACAUGCCUCACUACUCCUAAUAUGGUAGAUGCAGUGGUCUAAUUGAUUCCUUUCCUUUUAAUACAACUGCUUGUUGCUGUUUGACUUUGAUUCCUUAAUUAAUGGGGAGUUCUUAUGCUGAUUUGAUUAUGAUUGAUACCCAAUUCCUUAAUUAUGGAUUUCUACCUUGUUUGUUUACUCGUUUUCAGUACUACAAGUUCCCCCAUUCUCUUUUGCAUGAGACACGAACACAUUGCAUAUCACAAACACAUACAGACACGCAUUCAAUCUCCCAAAACUCUCUUUCAAAACACUCAGUGCUCUCUUUCUUUCUCCAUUGUUUCUAUAAACUCUCUCACUCUCCUAUUGAACGUUCAAUCAGCUGAAAGCCAAGAUUGAGUGAUCUUGGUUGUUUACAACACUACUAGGGUUCUACUGCAUUAUUUUUUUGGGUUUGCUUGCUGCUUACUUCUCUGUACAAUGCUGCACUCAUUCAUUGCACACUUUGCUCUCCUUUGUGCAUUAUUGCUCAUUGCUAUUGUGUUCCACUAUCUGCAACUGGUAUGUCACCUAUUUAAGAUACGGCUUCCAAAAAAACAUGCUUCUACUAGUUUUGCCCUUCAUCUUGUUUCUUGUGUGCUUUUACCUGUGGUUCUGUUGCUCUUAUUUCUACUCGCAUGUAUUCAGGCCUGCUUAGUUAAUUAACAGUCCUGCAACCUCUUCCUUAGGUUGAUUAUGUUUGGAGUUUGGUACAGUAAGAACUGAACGUUUAUUUAUAGCCAUGUCUGAUUACUUUUAUUUAAUGUGUUGUAUAUGGUUGAAUAGUUUCCUUGCCUAUUUGUUCCCUUCCCCUUUGCCCCUUCUUGUGUGAUCCUCUGUUCUGAAACUGGUCAGCCAAAAUGAAUUUUUUGAAGAACUCUUUCUACUCUUCUUACUGCUUUUUUUCAAACCGUCUCUCAACUGUUUUCAACUCUUUCAAACUCUAUCACAAUCUCACUACUCUUCGAACUUAGGUUCUUCCCCCUAAGUGUAAGCAUUACUUUGGGAGCCCUAUGCACCCACUGAACUUUGAUGCACAAGGCUAGAUUUUCCGCACUCGCACUUGUCAAUGAUGAUAUAUUCUGGGUGCCUGGUAUUGGCCAGGGGUUCAAACGAACCCUUAGGGAACUUUGCCGUACCCAAACCUUGGUAAAUGAUGUGAAACUCGAAAGAAAUGAGGUUGGAUAUUUUGGGCCUGCCUGAAGGCUCCCUAUAGAAUAAUUCUUAGUUUUUUAUACUGUUGUAAUUUAAUUAAUUGGUCUGUUAUAAUUUGUAAAUGAUAAUGAGGUUUAUAGUGAAUUUGGGAGGGUUAUGCAUGCUUAGUUAAGGGAAUGUGUAGAAAACAUAUUCAUAGGAUUUUACUUAUUUAUUUG